rnacentral:rRNA from 1 species
UACAGAGGUCUCAAGCGUUGUCCGGAAUCAUUGGGCGUAAAGCGCGUGUAGGCGGCUCGGUAAGUCUGCUGUGAAAGUCCAGGGCUCAACCCUGGGAUGCCGGUGGAUACUGUCGAGCUCGAGUCCGGAAGAGGCGAGUGGAAUUCCUGGUGUAGCGGUGAAAUGCGCAGAGAUCAUGAGGAAGACCAGUGGCGAAGGCGGGUCUCUGGACAGUUCCUGACACUGAGGCACGAAGGCCAGGGGAGCAAACGGG